rnacentral:rRNA from 1 species
AUGGCGUCCUUCGCCGGAGCUGCCCGUUUGAUGGCGCUCCUCCAGAUCGCGCUGUUCGUCGUCUCCGCGGUGAUCAUGAGCAGCUCCGUCUGCCAUGCAGUCGGCGGCAUCCGCGUUCGUCCUCUGGACCCUAACCAUCCCGUGUGCCACGGACAGUGCGCACCCGGCGGUGGACCCUACCGUCCGCAGCCAUACCCCCACCGUCCGCGGGGCACCUCCGCCGUACAAUGGAGGGAUCGGACGACCAUGAUGCAUGCCCUCCGCUUUUACAAGGCUGCCUCGUGCUAUUUUACUCUAGGCAACAAGGAAUCACGGAAGCUGAAAUCAUUAUUCAACUGGAUAGACUUGAGCGGCUACUCAGCUGGUUUGCUCGUUGCAUGUUUGCAGGGAGUCUCCAAAGCUUGCUGCAUGUGGUGUAGCCAUCGCUCCGCAGCUUGGUGGGUAACUGGAAAUGGCCGAUGUCGUCCUAUCAAGGCAGGAUGUCCUACGAGAAGCAGACAGAGUGAUAGUGUUGGGUCAGCAAGUAAUUAA